rnacentral:rRNA from 1 species
CCUACGGGUGGCAGCAGUGAGGAAUAUUGGUCAAUGGGCGCGAGCCUGAACCAGCCAAGCCGCGUGAGGGAAGAAUGUACUGCGUGUUGUAAACCUCUUUUGUCAGGGAACAAAGGCGGGGACUAGUCCCCGGAUGAAGGUACCUGAUGAAAAAGCAUCGGCUAACUCCGUGCCAGCAGCCGCGGUAAUACGGAGGAUGCGAGCGUUAUCCGGAUUUAUUGGGUUUAAGGGGUGCGCAGGGGGCCUGUUAAGUCAGCGGUAAAAGCUCGGGGCUAAACCCCGGCGAGCCGUUGAAACUGGCGGGCUGGAGUUGGGGAGAGGUACGCGGAAUGCGCGGUGUAGCGGUGAAAUGCUUAGAUAUCGCGCAGAACCCCGAUUGCGAAGGCAGCGUACCGGCUCCACACUGACGCUGAGGCACGAAAGCGUGGGUAUCGAACAGGAUUAGAUACCCUGGUAGUC